rnacentral:misc_RNA from 1 species
GCUCAUACAUGAACAAAACUACCUCAAUAGCCUAACUGGACAUGGGGUUACAUACAUGGAAAUUGCAGCAAUGUUGUUGCUGCCCGGUUAGGCGGUUACAACAGCGUCUUGCAGUUAGAUUGAAGCCAGGAGCAGAGAGAACCUCAAGGAAAUGUUGAAGUUGCAUAUAAUGAAGAACACGAGAGAAAGAACUCGAUAUAUAGUGUUGCAUAUUUCUCGGC